UACAGGGGGCCAGCGUUGUUCGGAAUCAUUGGGCGUAAAGGGCGCGUAGGCGGCCGAUCAAGUCGGAGGUGAAAUCCCUCGGCUCAACUGAGGAAUUGCCUCCGAUACUGUUCGGCUUGAGUCCUGGAGAGGGUAGUGGAAUUCCCAGUGUAGCGGUGAAAUGCGUAGAGACUGGGAAGAACACCAGUGGCGAAGGCGGCUACCUGGACAGGUACUGACGCUGAAGCGCGAAAGCUAGGGGAGCAAACAGG
rnacentral:rRNA from 1 species